rnacentral:rRNA from 1 species
AUUGAACGCUGGCGGCAUGCCUUACACAUGCAAGUCGAACGGCAGCACGGGAGCAAUCCUGGUGGCGAGUGGCGAACGGGUGAGUAAUAUAUCGGAACGUGCCCAGUCGUGGGGAUAACGUAGCGAAAGCUACGCUAAUACCGCAUACGAUCUAUGGAUGAAAGCGGGGGAUCGCAAGACCUCGCGCGAUUGGAGCGGCCGAUAUCAGAUUAGGUAGUUGGUGAGGUAAAGGCUCACCAAGCCGACGAUCUGUAGCUGGUCUGAGAGGACGACCAGCCACACUGGGACUGAGACACGGCCCAGACUCCUACGGAGGCAGCAGUGGGGAAUUUUUGGACAAUGGGCGCAAGCCUGAUCCAGCAAUGCCGCGUGCAGGAUGAAGGCUCGG